rnacentral:ncRNA from 1 species
GAACUCUGGAGAAUCUCAAUCUAUGAGUGCCGAAGGUGCAAGGUGAAAUAUGCCGAAACUCUCAGGCAAAAGGACAGAGCA